rnacentral:tRNA from 1 species
GGCCCGAUAGUUCAACGGAUAGAAUAGAAGUUUCCUAAACUUUAGAUAGGAGUUCGAUUCUCCUUCGGGCUA